UACAGAGGUCUCAAGCGUUGUUCGGAUUCAUUGGGCGUAAAGGGUGCGUAGGCGGCGCGGUAAGUCGGGUGUGAAAUCUUGGAGCUUAACUCCGAAACUGCAUUCGAUACUGCCGUGCUUGAGGACUGGAGAGGAGACUGGAAUUUACGGUGUAGCGGUGAAAUUCGUAGAUAUCGGGAGGAAUACCAGUGGCGAAGGCGGCGACCUGGGCCAAUACUGACGCUGAGGUGCGAAAGCGUGGGGAGCAAACAGG
rnacentral:rRNA from 1 species